rnacentral:hammerhead_ribozyme from 1 species
GUACUGCUGAAGAGUCCCAAACUAAGACGAAAGGGCUGUCCAGUAC